UACAGAGGGUGCUAACGUUGUUCGGAAUUACUGGGCAUAAAGCGCACGUAGGCGGCGCGUCGAGUGCGGGGUGAAAUCCCACGGCUUACCCGUGGAACAGCUUCGCAUACUGGCGUGCUGGAGUGCGGUAGAGGAGAGCGGAACUCUUGGUGGAGCGGUGAAAUGCGUAGAUAUCAAGAGGAACACCAAAGGCGAAGGCAGCUCUCUGGGCCGUAACUGACGCUGAGGUGCGAAAGCCAGGGGAUCGAACGGG
rnacentral:rRNA from 1 species